rnacentral:misc_RNA from 1 species
GUACAUUAGUGCUUGCGCACGACAAUAGUUUUCAUUACAUUCGAGUGUGUAAAAAUCCUCUGCCAGCCAAAGCCAGCGGAGGCUAAAGGUUCACAUGGGGUGGGGAUUGGAGGAAAGUCACCAGCGUGCACUUGCCAGAGCUGGCCAGCACAGAAGGCAACGAUUCACAAUCAAUAAUGAUCCUUCCGCAGGUUCACCUACGGAAA